UACAGAGGUCUCAAGCGUUGUUCGGAUUCAUUGGGCGUAAAGGGUGCGUAGGCGGCGCGGUAAGUCGGGUGUGAAAUCUCGGGGCUUAACUCCGAAACUGCAUUCGAUACUGCCGUGCUUGAGGACUGGAGAGGAGACUGGAAUUUACGGUGUAGCGGUGAAUGCGUAGAUAUCGUAAGGAAGACCAGUGGCGAAGGCGGGUCUCUGGACAGUUCCUGACGCUGAGGCACGAAGGUCAGGGGAGCAAACGGG
rnacentral:rRNA from 1 species